CACCCAUGGCAUGAGAUAUACUAUGUCUGAUGAGUCUACAAAUUCUCUGUGAGCAUCUGAAACUUUCUCUGAUGUGACUCAAGAACAUGGCAUUGAUAAUGAUUAAUUUAAAAGAACACCACUAGGAUAGUAUGUCCUUGAUAGAUUUGAACAAACAGUUAAAACUAUUGAUAUUUAUUACCAACAAUGUGAACCUUGACUACUUGGAUGAGAUAGUGUCUUCCAGACAUGAUAGCACCACUAUGGAUGUUUUACAGGCACUCUGAGUGACAUUAUCAGAUGAGUAGUUUGACAAGUGGUACUCCUCUUCUAGAGCAGAAAGCUAAUCUCCGUUCUUAAUAUUUUACAGGGAGCACUACCUCCUCAGUGGAGGCCUCAUCUCUAUCAGCCAUCAUUCCUCGCCUUCUUCGCCUUUACGUCCUCAGGAAUAUCCUUCCCUGGUCUUUCUCACAGAGGCGUUCAAAUCAUCCUCAAGAUCAGAUCACCUUCCAAUAUCUCACUGCCAACACCAUCACCACAGACCAUGAGCUUCACCAUCCACAUUUUGAUGGAUUAUAUACAUUCAAGGGCUUGUUUGGUGGCUGGGAGGAGUCGAUGUAUGUUGAGGAUCAAGACAAGAAUGAGGUCAAUGAGAGAGCCCAAAAGUCCUCAUCUGGUUAUGAGAAAAAUGCAGUUUAUAAACUUCGCUUCUCUGAUGGAAACAUGAGUUUUCUUUGUUUAUUUAUUGAUGAACCUGCCUAUAUUUUGGAAAGAUGUAUAAAAUAUAGUUAAAAACAUAUUGAGGUAAAAUUCCUUCUCAAUUUUUCUGACUAUUAAUUUCAUAACUUCCCUGUGUCAUGGAUACCCAAAAGUAAAGUUAAUACUAUUUCUGAAUGUAUAUAUGUGAGGUUUUUUUAAGAGAUUAGCAUUUGAAUGCUAGGGCUCAUUAAGAAAAUUACCCUUUCCCAGUGCCUCUAAGUUCCAUCCAAUCCACUGAGAAACUAUGACCUGGAUGAAACAGAAAGGCAAGGAAACGUUGAGUGUUUUCUCCUGAGCCUAAUCAUCAGG
rnacentral:lncRNA from 1 species